UACGUAGGGGGCUAGCGUUGUCCGGAAUCAUUGGGCGUAAAGAGCGUGUAGGCGGUCCGGUAAGUCCGCUGUGAAAGUCGGGGGCUCAACCCUCGAAUGCCGGUGGAUACUGUCGGGCUAGAGUGCGGAAGAGGCGAGUGGAAUUCCUGGUGUAGCGGUGGAAUGCGCAGAUAUCAGGAGGAACACCGAUAGCGAAGGCAGCUCGCUGGGACGGUACUGACGCUGAGGCGCGAAAGCGUGGGGAGCGAACAGG
rnacentral:rRNA from 1 species